rnacentral:rRNA from 1 species
UACAGAGGGGGCAAGCGUUAUUCGGAAUUACUGGGCGUAAAGCGCACGUAGGCGGCUUUGUAAGUAAGAGGUGAAAGCCCGGAGCUCAACUCCGGAACUGCCUUUUAGACUGCAUCGCUUGAAUCCAGGAGAGGUGAGUGGAAUUCCGAGUGUAGAGGUGAAAUUCGUAGAUAUUCGGAAGAACACCAGUGGCGAAGGCGGCUCACUGGACUGGUAUUGACGCUGAGACGCGAAAGCGUGGGGAGCGAACGGG